CGACUUCCUCCCCCUCACUGGAUGAAGAACUUGCACCUUCAUCCCUGUGAUAAAUAAAAGGAAUAAUUGUAAUUAAAUAAAGCAACAAAAAUAUGAAAGACAAAAGCUACAGGAACAUGAACAGAUUCAUAUAUAUGCAAUUGCAAGUGAGUCUAUUUUAGACGAACUCUUGCGGCUAGAUGAGGAGGAAGAAAGCUUAGAAGGGUUUCUUUCUAAUAAAGGAGAAGGCAAGAGAUGUCUCGUACAAGGCAAAAUACAUAAAUAAUCAAAAUUUACUUCUCCAUCAAUGAUCACGUAUGUAUAAUAAAGAUUACUAGCUGCGCCCUGGGGCUUCCCAUAGGAAUUUCGGGAUAAAACGUGCCAAAUUUGUUAUUACAUAACAAUCAGUCCAGUAUAUUUUGCGUGAACCUUACAAAUUUUCGAAUAGUUGGAAUAAAAUAUCCAUAGUGCAUUAAAAAUACAAACAACGCCAUCUAAUAUUUGUAUUGAAAGUUUUGAAACUUGCAUUUAGCAAGUUUUUCACAAAUUCCAAACAAACAAGCUCACUUUAGCAUUUAUAAUAUUAUUUUCAAUAUUAGGGGAUUAGUAGAACUAAGUACACUUAGAUUCCUUUUUCAAAAUAAACUCCCAAAUGAUAUGUGUAACUUCAUAUUUGAGAAUAAAAAUAUUUUCUCUGUGUUGUGAUAGAUUUAUGGAUAAACACAGAAAUAUUAAAAUAUCUGGGCAAAAAUAUAUCGAAAAAAUAAUAGAACAGAAAUAGAAAAAUAAAAUAAAACUGGCUUACCCUUCAGAAUCAGCGAACAACAUUUCCAUCUCGGCAUAAACUGCGUCGGCGGCCAUAAUGUACUAGUCACAAUAUCACUGCACGGUCACUUCACUGGAAAGGUCGGCAAGGAUAUGAACCCUUUCGAAAAUUUACAUUUUAUAAAAGAAGACAUAUGAAGAGGUGGGGAUGACCACGUGCACCUGCAGGCAUUCGUCAGAUUUAUGGCCCGGUAAUAAAACAUUAGGACAGUGUGCAACUUCUUUGGAAAAUUAAACUUUAUCUUUACUACAACAAUACCUCGUAUUAACAAGGUAUUGUAGUGUUGAAAAUGUGACGCGGGACAAUAUAUACAGCCAUACACAAUGCACCAAAGCAAACCGGUGAUUGUUUUGUCGGUUUCUACAAAGUGUAGAUAACAAAGGCGAUAGAAAAAUCUGAGAUAACAUCAAUAAAAAAGCGGCAAAUUAGCUUAUCUUAAUUAUAUUCUCUUAUUCACAUUGUGAGUUAACCAUAUGCAUGUUAUUUUUUGUUUUUUGUAUUCGAAAGUCUUAUCAACGUACCUAUUGGACAUUUAAACCACAAAAAUGUAUGACGUUACAAAUUGUUCGCAAAGAUACCUACCAAAUAUUUUCUUGUAAUAAAUGAGCAGAAAUAAUUGAUGAAAUGAUAUUUUAAUUUUUAGGGUUCGUAACUUAAAUAGAUAUAAAAAAAUCGAUUACGAAAACGUAUCGAUUCUGGUACUAUGCAUGUCAUGCACUACACUACAACAAUGUGACGUUUCACGUUUGUCAUUCCUUCCGGUGGCGCGCGCAUAACGCAUAUGGUUGGUGGUUUUAUUUUUGUAAAAGAUUUAUUACGUAGUUAAUGGCAAUGGGCAGUUCAGGGAAGUCGAGAAAUUCAACAGCACUGAAACCCAAAUAUCGUGGUGGCGGCGGCUGCGGAAGUGGUGGAGGAGUUUGGGCCGGAGGUGGAGGAGGUCGCAGUCUGAACCAAUUUACGAAAAUGUCGUGGACCAGCCGCCUGCAGCCAUGCUGGUGGAAAUAUUGGCG